UACGUAGGGUGCAAGCGUUAAUCGGAAUUACUGGGCGUAAAGCGUGCGCAGGCGGUUAUGCAAGACAGGGGUGAAAUCCCCGGGCUCAACCUGGGAACUGCCUUUGUGACUGCAUGACUAGAGUACGGUAGAGGGGGAUGGAAUUCCGCGUGUAGCAGUGAAAUGCGUAGAUAUGCGGAGGAACACCGAUGGCGAAGGCAAUCCCCUGGACCUGUACUGACGCUCAUGCACGAAAGCGUGGGGAGCAAACAGG
rnacentral:rRNA from 1 species